UAGUCCACGCCGUAAACGAUGUCAACUAGCCGUUGGAGACCUUAGUGUUUUUAGUGGCGCAGCUAACGCGAUAAGUUGACCGCCUGGGGAGUACGGCCGCAAGGUUAAAACUCAAAUGAAUUGACGGGGCCCGCACAAGCGGUGGAGCAUGUGGUUUAAUUCGAUGCAACGCGAAGAACCUUACCAGGUCUUGACAUACAGAGAAUUCGCUAGAGAUAGCUUAGUGCCUUCGGGAACUCUGAUACAGGUGCUGCAUGGCUGUCGUCAGCUCGUGUCGUGAGAUGUUGGGUUAAGUCCCGCAACGAGCGCAACCCUUGUCCUAUGUUGCCAGCGCGUAAUGGCGGGAACUCAUGGGAGACUGCCGGUGAUAAACCGGGAGGAAGGUGGGGGACGAC
rnacentral:rRNA from 1 species